rnacentral:lncRNA from 1 species
UCGGUGUAGCACGAUGGAAUCUGGUGGCUUAAACCUAGCUGUCCACAUUUCACUAUCUGAAGAGCAGAAAAUGUGUUAAUAGGAGCCUGGUGAGUGGAGGAGACUGAAGAUGGAGAGAGAGCCUGGACCUCAACAUGAGCAUCUGGAGCCAUUUGGCAGCAUUAGGCUGUGACCGCUUAGAGAACCGAAAGGGUGCAGAGCUUUAAAGGAUUAUGGAGUCUGAAGACCAAAUGGGAUGAUGGAGAACAGCUAUUCAGUGGUACAAAUGUAAAUGCUCCCAGGCCCGGGCAGGAAAAGAGAAAACAUUUCCAUGGAAGAGGAAACAGGAAAUUCCAACAGAUCAGCAACAGUUGGAGUGCUAACCUGUCACUGGAAUGGGAAAAAAAAUGCUGUCGUUGACACAUCUUUUCCUUGUUUUUGACACAAAUUAGGAAACACCACCUGGAACACAGCUGUGACUUGAUAAACAAGUGAAACAUUCUUUGGUGUGGUGAGGGGAAAACAAAUUUCUCAAAGGACACGCACCAUGGUGUAUGAGAGGACACUGGAGCCCAGCCAGCAUCUGACAUGCUGAAUUCAAAGUGCAGGUGAAAGUAGGACAACUGAUUCACAAGCUGGGAUGCCUGUGUUGUUGUUUGCCAGUGUGCGUGUGUGUGUUUUCCUGGCACCCUUCAUUCAUUCCCCAGCACAGUUGACAUCAGGUUGGAAGCAGUGAGUUCUGAGGGAGACUGCUAGAGGACCCAACUUGGAGAAUCAACGAUCUGCGAUGAAGAUAAUGAAGAUAAAGACAAUGUCAAUGUCAGCGUCCAAAAUCAUAAGGACCCUUUAAGAAGCUUCCAGAGCAGAAGUGACUGUGCAAGAAGGGCCAAUAAAGUCUAGGCAAUGCACGACCAGGCGCGGUCGCUCACGCCUGUAAUCCCAGCACUUUGGGAGGCCGAGGUGGUUGGAUUACCUGAGGUUAGGAGUUUGAGACCAGCCUGACCAACAUAGUUUCACCCCAUCUCUACUAAAAAAAAAAAAAAAAACAAAACAAAAGUUAGCCAGGUGUGGUGCUGCACACCUGUAAUCCCAGCUACUCUGGAAGCUGAGGCAGGAGAAUCGCUUGAACCCAGGAGGCGGAGGUGGCAGUGAGCUGAGAUUGCACCGCUGCACUCCAGCCUGGGCGACAGAGUGAGACUCUGUCUCAAAAAUAAAUAAAUAAAUAAAUAAUAAAGUCUAGGCAAUGC